UACGGGAGGCAGCAGUGGGGAAUAUUGCACAAUGGGCGAAAGCCUGAUGCAGCGACGCCGCGUGAGCGAAGAAGUAUUUCGGUAUGUAAAGCUCUAUCAGCAGGGAAGAAAAUGACGGUACCUGACUAAGAAGCUCCGGCUAAAUACGUGCCAGCAGCCGCGGUAAU
rnacentral:rRNA from 1 species